GACGAACGCUGGCGGCGUGCCUAACACAUGCAAGUCGAGCGCUGACGGAUGGUACUUGUACCCACUGGGUGAGCAGCGGACGGGUGAGUAACGCGUGGGGAAUCUGCCUCUGAGCGGGGGACGACAACGGGAAACGACUGCUACUACUGCAUCAAACCUUUAACCACAAGAUUCAAGUUUGAAAGAUGCCAUUCCCUCACUCAUAGGUGAUCCCGCGUUGUAUUAGCUAGUUGGUGAGGUAAAGGCUCACCAAGGCGAUGAUACAUAGCCGACCUGAGAGGGUGGACGGCCACAUUGGGACUGAGACACGGCCCAAACUCCUACGGGAGGCAGCAGUAGGGGAUCAUCGGCAAUGGAGGAAAGGCUGACCGAACAACGCCGCGGGAGGGAAGAAGGUUCUCGGAGCGGAAAACUCUGUUUGUAGGGAAGAACGAUGAGGAGAGUGGAAAGCUGAUGAAGUGACGGUAACUAACCAAAAAGGGACGGCUAACUACGUG
rnacentral:rRNA from 1 species